GGUCAUGAGCGCCAGCGUCAAGCCCCGGCUUGCUGGCCGGCAACCCUCCAACCGCGGUGGGGUGCCCCGGGUGAUGACCAGGUCUAGUAGCCAGUAGCCGGCUGCACGGCAAGCGCGGGUC
rfam:Mycobacterium saskatchewanense strain DSM 44616 contig_10, whole genome shotgun sequence.